AGGACGAACGCUGGCGGCGUGCUUAACACAUGCAAGUCGAGCGGAAAGGCCCUUCGGGGUACUCGAGCGGCGAACGGGUGAGUAACACGUGAGUAAUCUGCCCCUAGCUCUGGGAUAGCUCCGGGAAACCGGGAUUAAUACCAGAUACGACCACUUUAGACAUCUGUUGUGGUGGAAAGAAUUUCGGCUAGGGAUGAGCUCGCGGCCUAUCAGCUUGUUGGUGAGGUAACGGCUCACCAAGGCGACGACGGGUAGCCGGCCUGAGAGGGCGACCGGCCACACUGGGACUGAGACACGGCCCAGACUCCUACGGGAGGCAGCAGUGGGGAAUAUUGCGCAAUGGGCGAAAGCCUGACGCAGCGACGCCGCGUGGGGGAUGAAGGCCUUCGGGUUGUAAACCCCUUUCAGCAGGGACGAAGCGAAAGUGACGGUACCUGCAGAGAAGCGCCGGCUAACUACGCGCCAGCAGCCGC
rnacentral:rRNA from 1 species